rnacentral:rRNA from 1 species
UGGCUAACUCCUACGGGAGGCAGCAGUAGGGAAUCUUCCGCAAUGGGCGAAAGCCUGACGGAGCAACGCCGCGUGAGUGAUGAAGGGUUUCGGCUCGUAAAACUCUGUUAUUAGGGAAGAACAAAUGUGUAAGUAACUGUGCACGUCUUGACGGUACCUAAUCAGAAAGCCACGGCUAACUACGUGCCAGCAGCCGCGGUAAUACGUAGGUGGCAAGCGUUAUCCGGAAUUAUUGGGCGUAAAGCGCGCGCAGGCGGUUUCUUAAGUCUGAUGUGAAAGCCCACGGCUCUACCGUGGAGGGUCAUUGGAAACUGGGAAACUUGAGUGCAGAAGGGGAAAGUAGAAUUCCAUGUGUAGCGGUGAAAUGCGCAGAGAUAUGGAGGAACACCAGUGGCGAAGGCGACUUUCUGGUCUGUAACUGACGCUGAUGUGCGAAAGCGUGGGGAUCAAACAGGAUUAGAAACCCGGGUAGUCCAGCUGG